UUCACAGCAUCUAUCCGUCAUCGUCAGAAUCGCGCAAGAACUAGUGCUGCGCUCUUGGGCUGGCCAAUGAGUCGCUUUUGCAAAAUCCGGAUACUAUGUUAGGGUACCUCUGCGGCGAUUAAUAAAUGACGUGUUAUGAACUGCUUCGACAAUAUAAUGGGUUAGAAACACUUCCAAAAACGGGUUAGCACCACUUCAACAAAGGGGUGCACCCACUUCGGUGCAGGCAAAUGAGUCAGGAAAGAGAGUUUAGGAGUCUGGAUUCGGAUAAUGUUUCAUUGUUGAAUUAUCCGGUUAUCCGGAUAGGCUAUCCGGAUUUUGCCCACCACAACUGCGCUGCCCAUCUGCCACAGUGAGUGCCAGACCAGACCACCGUAGCAUGAGCCACAUGUGAUUCCAGCCAGCGCACUCCUUCCUCCCUCGCCGAACCACGAGAGCCACGUACCAGCGCGACGUCAUAGUAUCAUCGUCUGCUGGGAUACAACCAACCGACCGGGUAUUUGAAUAAUAAUAAUAUGGAUUAUUCCAAACGUUGAAGGAGUUAGCAAUCAUCCCUGCCUCUGCAGGAUUUGAUUUGGAAGUUGUACCAGCGGGAAAAAGGGAAAUUUGAAAUUCUAACAGAUGUUUCCAUUAAGGGAAAGGAACAAUCUAUGAAUAUUCAUCCAGGCGUGGACUGUAUAAACUUUGCUUGUCUCAGAGGAGUAUACGACUGAAAUAACCUCCUUUUUAGGAGAAAGGAGAAGAAACACUAAGCGCCCGAGCAGGACUAAAACUCUGGGCUGAGACAGAAAAUCUAAGGCAGUCCGCUUCUUGACUGAUCUCACUGAGUGGAGGCGAUAGCAGA